rnacentral:lncRNA from 1 species
CAAAUCCUAAACCUCAUUUCUAAAAAAUCCAAUAGAAAAAUAAUCAUUUACAUGUUACAACUUGCACAUCAAUUUCUCACUUUGACAUCAGCCACAAAUUAUCUCAUCCCCUCAUGAAUCCUAUUAUUUAUUUACUCAGAAGCUCAAUUCAUGGUUUUCAAAAUUUCCCAUUUCAUAGCUUAUAAUAAACAUUAAACCCCUAGUUUAAAUUCAAAUCAACAAUUGCUUAAUGCCUGUUUUCAAGCUUGUACAAAAUUAAAAAUUUGAACCAACAAAAUCACACUAAUCUUAAAUCAAUCUACAUCACCAAUAAUUGUUUAUUUCAUGUAUAGACAUAACCAUACACGAAUUAACAAAGAAAAACCCGGAAGUCGUUGAUGAAUUCUUCCCCUUUGUCGACGUAGAAAUCGUUGAACUUUUCGAGUUCCUAAUUGAGAACCAGAUCUGCAGAGGCGACGUUUUGCAUCAUGAUCCGGCAGAUAAUUCAUGGCAGAAUCGCGGUGGCGAUAAUUAUUCCAUACGGUAGGGUUUCUUCCAAAUGUAUUCUGAAUUAUUUUCAAAAUUCCAUAGUUAUUUCAAUACAAUCCGAAUGUAUUAUCAUUUUUUUUUCCUGAUUAAUCAACUAUGUGCUUAGUGAUUACUGGUUCAAUACGCAUCGAUUAAAAACUACAAUAACAAAAGUUAAUCAUUUAAAUUCAGUUACAUCAAAUUUUUUCAUUGGUUUCCUAAUUGAAUAUUGUCAGUAUAAAUUAUUGGAAGUUCAACAAAUCAAAACUUUAGACCAUAUCCAGUGAAAUAAUAUGCAGAAUUGGUUCACAGGAUUCCUUCACGGAUUACAGUUGACAUCAAUUUAUUGGAAGUUCCAAAAAAAGAAAAAGAAAAAUGAGAGAGAAUCAAGCAAAUGUUGCCAAAUCAGCUUCAGUAUAACACCUGUGAAGGAGAAGUCUCUUUUUCCAAAAGAAAAAAGUAUGUAAAUUGGAUACAUCCUCUUAUCAAGAUGGAGUAUGACGGGUAAGAAUCCUCCGCCUUUUCUUUGUCAUUUAAGCAUUUUGGGUGAACUUUUUGAUGCAAUUCAUAGCCCUAUUGAAGGAUUCUUGUGCAAUAAGGGAAGAUUCCUCCCUUAGCAGAGUUGUAGAAUUUGAGGGAGUCAUCAUGCCAUUAGACAAAGACCGAUCGGAAGCCUAUCAGCUAGACCUACAUGUCAUAAGUCAAAUUUCUUAAUCGCUUUCGUGUCUGAAAAUGAUGGUCUAAGCAUAAGCAUGACAGUUUUACUCCAAAUAUGUUUGUGUAUUACUUAUUCUAAACGUAGAGUAGCUUACUAAAAAGUAGAUUGAGAAAAAUGGUGAUUACGUCCCAUGUUGCAUGUUAAACCUUAACUUUGAUUACUCGGUCUUUGUCAAUUUUAAAAAUAAAUUUUACACAAUAUAAUUGUAAUAAUUGAUUUCAAAGCAAAUAUCUUGUAAAAGUAACUUUCAUCUCCAAAAGAUUAUCGACUAAUAUAACAAUUUCUUAAAGUUGCUUAACUGAAGUAUGGAUCAUCUUCAUAGUAGUGCCUGCCUGGCAUUAGCUUCACUUGCUG